ensembl:lncRNA
CGCAAGGAUUGGAGCGCUCGUGCACAUGCGCCAAUGCAGCGCCGCCCGCCUCCCGCUUCCCUCCUCCCUCCUCCAGCUGGCGCACGCGCCCUUACUGCUCGCACGCGGACGACCGUUGGAAGCGCGAGGCGGUGCCCGUGUGAGGGCUGUGGUGAGCGAGGGCAGCGUCGAGGUUCGGCGCUUCCGUCGGCUCACAGAUCGAGCCGCGCUGCCCGCCCCGCUGGAAUGAGCUGAGACUGAGCGCUGCGGCCCUUGGCCGGAGGGCAUUCACAACCAGGACAGGCCCGGGAGGUCACAGGCGCGGUUUCCGAGGCGUUGAGUCCCGUGCCAGUAGCAGCAGGGCCGUCGAGGAAAGCUCCUCAGCCUCCACUUGAGCCGCUUGCGUGAGGCAGCAGUGGGGUGCUGAACAUUCCUUAUGGAACCGGGCGGUACUGCACGCGUACAGCACGAGCUGGGAGAGCUACACAAAGCCUGAGGUCACCGUCCUUUGGCAGCGGUAACGACAGGUGGCAGUGCUGUGCCUGAGGUGCAGAACGCCGUCUGAGGAACAGCUCUGAUUCCCGCCCCGCCGGGGACGCAGCAGCGGGAACGCAGCGUUUGUACGCACAAACUCCGUGAAGCUGAGGGGCAAGUUUCAUAUUUUAAUCACGAGCUGAUUUCUGCAACAGCACAUCUGCUGGAAUGUGAACAUACACAUCUCUGUGUGUGUGCCAAAAAACUCAGUUACACAGAACUGGCCCUGUGCCACUAACAUUGCUGCAGUCAGACAGCAACCAACUUGAAUUCCUGCUCCUCACAGCCGGAAUGUUGUCCAAAAGGCAAAGAUGCACCAAUGUCUGUUUGAGCCCGGGGUACAGCAGGAACUGGGGAUAAUGAGACAUGUGAGCAGAAGAAGGGUGGGAGGAAUAAAAAAGUGAUUUAAUGGUGCAUGACAUGAAUGGAGAAAAAUACAGUCUAAGAAUAAAUUGCUAAAGAAGAAUAGAAAGCAGAGACACUCAUCUCCCUCCAGCAACGAUGAAAUCUAAGGAUAACAGGAAAUAAAGCAAUUAAGGUCAAGACUGGUAUCAAGCUUCUGUUCAGAUCAGCAUGCUCAUCAGAAUCCAAGCUGCUAAACGAGGGAGAGGGCAGUGAGCAAACAACUGCAUGGUGUUCAGCUGCCUGCCGAGUUAAAGCACAGCAAUAAUAGCGGGGGGAAAAGAAGUACCUGACGAGAGAAAGACCCAACUAUGGAUGGCAGAAGGGGAAGUGAAGAUGGCAGAAGUGUGGGAAACCUCACAGCCAGUCAAAGCCAACAACACUGAAUUAAGAUGUCGUUAUCAGCCAUCUGUUCCUGGUCCUGCUCUCAAUUUCUUCCAUCAAAGAAAUAAUUCCAGACAUGAAACACCUCAUUGGAGCAACAAUCACCUGAAACUGCCAGAGUGCUGCAAUGCAACAGUGGGCCUGGCUUGCAGGGAGCAAUUGAAGGAACUUUUUCCGAUAUGCUGGUGUCACCAUAUACAGCAGGUGGGAAGCAAGACUCAGAAUGAGAAGGCUGUGAAGUUCUGCUGGCCCCACUGUUGGUGACACCUCUGCCUAACUCCUAAUGGAUGCACUGAGCCCCCAGACCACAGAUCUCUCAUGGGAGAAGGUGAAGAGCAGCCCUCCCUCAAUGUUGCUCUUACAGGGCUUCUCAGAUCCCUUGUCCCACAACCUGCAACCCAAGGCUGGGAUUUACAUCGUGUCACCUGCUGAAUCCUUGGGGAGAACAGCUCAUCUCAAACAAUCUCAUCAAAACAGGAAAUUUUAAACAUAUCAAAUGGGAACAAAAGAACACUUCUGAG